UGAAUUUAGAAGUGUAAAAAAGCAGGCACACUUAGGAGAUGAAAAAAGCUAUGCUGUACAAAAUUUACUCCUAUUUUCCUAACACUAAUUAAACUUAAAACAAACAAAAAAAUCAAUAGGAAAGGACUUUCAUGUAUAAGAAAGUCCUACUGAUAUUAUUUGAUCGACUAUUUUCCGAUGGUGGCCAUUGCUGCUGAGCGGUUAAAACAGCACCAUUUCCGCAUCGAUAAUUCUGGAGAUAAUAAAUUAAAGACAACGAAAUGAAAAUAGUGUACGAUGUUUCUGGGCAUACCCCGCUUAAAAUGGUUUUUAGUGAAG